UUUCCUGCUUUCUGAUUUCCAAAUGUCUCUGAGCCAGUUUGUGUGAAAUCAUGACCACAGAGCUUCCUCCCUCUCUUCCUGUUUACUGAUGAAGUCAAACUGUUUCUCUUAAACCAUGUGACCCCAGAUGGUCCUCCUCCCUCUCUACUGAUAUACUGUAUAAACUGUUCUCUUCUCUCUCUGCCUCCUCUACAUCACAGACCAACAACACUGACAGUGUCCAUAGUCACCUCGUCACCGAGCUUCAGGAACUUCAGAUCCAUUUCUCUGGACCUCUUCCUGGGUUGACCUGGACUUUAAACACACAGAACCUUUCUGAUCACAUCAGAUCACAGUUUGAUUUAAAGUCAGCUUCUUCAUCUCUCUGAAGAGGAGAUCUCAACACUUCCAGGAGGACCAGGAGACCUCUCUCCUCAUCUGUCUGAAUUAAUGGAUGAAAAUGAAGUCAGAAUGGUGCAGGAGGAAACAGAUGAAGUCAGAAGAGCAAGAUAUGUUGCUGGAGGAGUAGGAGCAGCAGUAGGAAUAGUAAUCCAGCUCCUUGCAGCUCCGGUCACUGGGUGGGGUAAUUUAGCAGCAGUAGGAGCGAUAGCAGUAGCAGCAGGAGCUGUAUUAGGAAAGUUAGCAGUAGGAGGAGGAAGAUGAGCUGUGGUUGUAAAUGCAAUAAAAACAAUAAAAGAGAACAGAAGUGUAAAUAAAGUAGAAGAGCUGGGGAAAGAGUUCAUGGAGAUUGUUGAACCAUUGAAGAAGGACCUGGAACAAAUAAAGAAGAUGUGUGAGAAGUUGGAGGAAAGAUCAGCUGAAGAUCAGUCUGAAAUCACUCUGAUACACGUGGAGGACUUUCAUAAGAUUAUUAGAAACGUUUCUGAAGAGAAAUCACAAUUUUGGCUGAUCUGUGUGGCAGAGUUGUUAAUGACUUUAAUCAGAUGAAGAAAGACUGUUUGAUCAUUUAUCUAACAUACUGGACUUUAUGUAACUGAAUCAGAUGAACAAUAAUACUUAAUGAUAUUUGAUAUGUUGGACUGUUGAUCUCUGGUUUAAUAUUAAAUUUCACUCACUGUUG